AGCUUUGCACAGUGGCAGUAUCGUAGCCAAUGAGGUUUAUCCGAGGCGCGAUUUUUGCUAAUUGAUUAGAAAUGUCCUAGGUAAAGAGCAGAGUUUUGGCCCUGGUUUGCUGUUGGUGAUGACAACAUUCCUUACCA